rnacentral:rRNA from 1 species
CCUACGGGUGGCAGCAGUGGGGGUAUUGCACAAUGGGGGGAACCCUGAUGCAGCGACGCCGCGUGGGUGAAGAAGCGCCUCGGCGCGUAAAGCCCUGUCAGCAGGGAAGAAAAAGACGGUACCUGAAGAAGAAGGCCCGGCUAACCAAGUGCCAGCAGGCGCGGGAAUAAGUAGGGGGCAAGCGUUAUCCGGGUUUACUGGGGGGAAAGGGGGCGCAGGCGGCGAUGCAAGCCAGGAGUGAAAGCCCGGGGCCCAACCCCGGGACUGCUCUUGGAACUGCGUGGCUGGAGUGCAGGAGGGGCAGGCGGAAUUCCUGGUGUAGCGGUGAAAUGCGUAGAUAUCAGGAGGAACACCGGUGGCGAAGGCGGCCUGCUGGACUGCAACUGACGUUGAGGCCCGAAAGCGUGGGGAGCAAACAGGAUUAGAUACCCGGGUAGUC